CAUCCGUUCCGACGGUUCCGUACAGUCAAACGUGGUAAUCGUGAGGGAAUCUUUUGGCUGUCGGUAGGUGGCUAAAAUGGUUUGUCCCCCAGCCACCAGGUGACGCGAGUGUCUUCGUGAGGACGAUAAAUUUGUCAUUUGUUUCCGAAACGCUGACUGAAAGUGUAUCAUUCAUUACGGAAUUGCGGUGUCGAUAUACAUUUUAAGCCAUGAAAUGGGAAUCUGGCAUAUAAUUUUACUUGGCCAAAUAAUGUGACGACGUGGGUCGAAACUGCUGUCCAUUUCACCGAAAUGUCGGCCAUUGUUAGCUGUACCUACACGGCUGUACGUCUCAUCUCGUGCUAAAACACUUCAGACCUAUUGAUGUCCAGGUUGGAGAUCCCUUCGCUCAACUGUUGCAGAAAUUGAGAACAUGAGAAAGUCUGAGCUUCAUGGCUGUUGUAUCAUCAUCGUGGUUUUGUUUCAUUCAUGAGGUGGGAAAAGUGUGAUCGAGUCAAGUUGAGCUGCAGCUGCUGCAUGAAGUUAAUCAAACUGUUGUUAUUCCUAUUGUCACAGCAGGAAGACUUCUUGAAUCGGAGUUCAUGGUCAGUUUGAUGUUUGAGCUGUUUAUGGUGUUGCUGUUUGGUGUACAGUGGUUUUGCAGUCCCUUUCCAGUUGAGAGAUGCUCUGAAGUGGAGCUUGUGCAGACUUGCAGUUCAAAAUCUCACUUUAAAUGUGUCAUUUGCCUAUGUUUGUGUCCGUGCAGUAUAUGCCGUGUUAAAAAGUUGGGUUUAAUAGUCAAUGUUGUCGAUGGCUGUUGGUCUUGUUUUAUCGGCUGCAUUUUGUCGAUGUUUCGUCUCUUGUUUCCUGUUCGGUCAGUGUCUCCCCCUGCUUGCAUGUCAGCAGUUUAAUAAAUAAACCAUUUAUAAAAACUUA